AAACGUUGAAGUCAAUCAAUGAGUUCCAAAUGCAAUAUUGGAAGUUUUCUUAAAUAUUUUGAUGCUUUUGCAUGUUGUGAAAGAACUUGGUUAGAUGUGAGAAAGGGGUUUAUGAGAUUAGUUACUUACUAUUCCCUUUUUCACUGUCAUUGCUACUCAGUAGAUAUGCUAUGGGCUCGUGUUUCUGUAGAAUAUAAUUCAGAUGCUCUUUCUCUAGAAUAUAAUUUAUAUGUUCUCUCUACAAAUUUGAAGUAAUUUCUACUGUUUUUGCUAAUAAUUUAUAUAUUAUAGAGUUAAAUUUAACACAGUUAAUCAUCUUAAGCAUUUGACUCUGGUGUUCUUAAGAUAUAAAUUCAAAUCCCUAUAAUUUUAUCAUCUUGAUCUUUUCAAUCGUCUCACAUACCGUCUUCAUUUCAUAAUCUUGCCUACUAGCUGCGUAUCAUCAAUGAAAUUACCAUAGGAGUCCACAUGUGGUAAUUAUGGAUCUAGCACGAUAUACUGCGUAUCAUGUUGUUGGAGAUCAUUUUAAAUGAUUAACCAGUCUAUUGGUGGUUUGAGUCUUUCCUUUUGAAUCUAUAGGUUGUUCAAUGGUCUAAUAUUAACUAUGUUUAGAUUUAUGGUAAUUUUCAUUCUUUUACAGCCUUAAUAACCAAGGAAAGGUGUGCUUUGAUAAUCUUUUCUUUCUCUUCAGCAGGUUGGUAAUGUAGAAAGGAUACAUGUAUACUAUGCCCACGGACUAGAUAGCCCAACCUUUGUUCGCCGGUGUUAUUGGCUCCUAGAUAAGACCUUUGAACACAUUGUCCUUGUUCAUUACCGUGAAACACAAGAGGUUAGGUUCAGCACAAUGCAUCUGCAGUUACUGAAAUAUUAUCUUGAGACAAACUUUUAUCAUUUGGACUACUACAUCUAUUUAAGAUUUGCUGAUUUUUCCUCCAUGGUUGCAAUAUUAGAACUUCAUCCAAAAUAAUGUUGUCAUGUGUGUCUUUAUGGUGAUUCAUGUGUUGAGAGUUCUCUUUCUUCUGCUAUCCAUAAAUUUAUGGAAUGGAAAGGCAAUGAUCAUGACACUAUUUUUUGUCAGAUAAA